rnacentral:rRNA from 1 species
AACAAACGCUGGCGGCGUGCCUAACACAUGCAAGUCGUACGAGAAAGGGUCCUUCGGGGCCUGAGUAAAGUGGCGCACGGGUGAGUAACGCGUGGAUAAUCUGCCCUUCAGUUGGGAAUAACUCAUCGAAAGGUGGGCUAAUACCGAAUAAUGCUGUGAGACCUCGGUUGAUCAGCCAAAGAGUGGCUCUGCUUGCAAGCCCUCGCUCAAGGAUGAGUCACCGUAGCAUUAGCUAGUUGGUAGGGUAAUGGCCUACCAAGGCGACGAUGGUUAGCUGGUCUGAGAGGAUGAUCAGCCACACUGGAACUGAGACACGGUCCAGACUCCUACGGGAGGCAGCAGUGAGGAAUCUUGCGCAAUGGGGGCAACCCUGACGCAGCAACGCCGCGUAAGUGAGGAAGGUCUUCGGAUCGUAAAGCUCUGUCGGAUGGAAAGAACCGCAUAGGGGUAAACAGCCCCUGUGUCUGACGGUACCAUCAAAGGAAGCACCGGCUAACUCCGUGCCAGCCGCCGCCGUAACAC